rnacentral:rRNA from 1 species
AGUGAACGCUGGCGGUAGGCCUAACACAUGCAAGUCGAACGGCAGCACAGUAAGAGCUUGCUCUUACGGGUGGCGAGUGGCGGACGGGUGAGGAAUACAUCGGAAUCUACUUUUUCGUGGGGGAUAACGUAGGGAAACUUACGCUAAUACCGCAUACGACCUACGGGUGAAAGCAGGGGAUCUUCGGACCUUGCGCGAUUGAAUGAGCCGAUGUCGGAUUAGCUAGUUGGCGGGGUAAAGGCCCACCAAGGCGACGAUCCGUAGCUGGUCUGAGAGGAUGAUCAGCCACACUGGAACUGAGACACGGUCCAGACUCCUACGGGAGGCAGCAGUGGGGAAUAUUGGGCAAUGGGCGCAAGCCUGAUCCAGCCAUACCGUGUGGGUGAAGAAGGCCUUCGGGUUGUAAAGCCCUUUUGUCGGGAAAGAAAAGCAGCAGGUUAAUACCCCGCUGUUCUGACGGUACCCAAAGAAUAAGCACCGGCUAACUUCGUG